rnacentral:lncRNA from 1 species
AAAAUUCUCAAAAAAACACCCCAGAAUCCCCCAAAAAAAUCACCCCAAAAUUCCUCCCCAAAAAACCCACCCCAAAAUCCCAAAAUUCUCAAAAAAAAAAACACCCUAAAAUUCAAAAUUCCCAAAAAAAAAAACCACAGGAAAAGGGAAAUUCCUCCCCAAAAUCCCAGAAAAAACCGGGAAAAGGGAAAUUCCUCCCCAAAAUCCCAGAAAAAACCGGGAAAGGGGAAAUACCUCCCCAAAAUCCCAGAAAAAAACCGGGAAAGGGGAAAUUCCUCCCCAAAAUCCCAGAAAAAAAACAGGAAAAGGGAAAUUCCUCCCCAAAAUCCCCCUCAGGAAUUUGGGGAAGGGGAAGGCCAAUCCCAGAGCGGGGAUUUUGGGGAUGGGAAACGCCCCUGGGGGGGAUUUCCGGGAAUUUGGGGUUUUUGGGGUUCAGGUGUGGAAUUUUGGGGUUCAGGUGUGGAAUUUUGGGGUUUAGCUGUGGAAUUUUGGGGUUUACCUGCGGAAUUUUGGGGUUCAGGUGUGGAAUUUUGGGGUUCACCUGUGGAAUUUUGGGGUUCAGGUGUGGAAUUUUGGGGUUUACCUGCGGAAUUUUGGGGUUUACCUGUGGAAUUUUGGGGUUCACCUGUGGAAUUUUGGGAUUCAGGUGUGGAAUUUUGGGGUUCAGGUGUGGAAUUUUGGGGUUCAGGAGUGGAAUUUUGGGGUUCAGGUGUGGAAUUUUGGGGUUUACCUGUGGAAUUUUGGGGUUCAGGAGUGGAAUUUUGGGGUUCAGGUGUGGAAUUUUGGGGGUUACCUGCGGAAUUUUGGGGUUUACCUGCGGAAUUUUGGGGUUUACCUGUGGAAUUUUGGGGUUUACCUGUGGAACUGGAGGGUGAAGUUGCCGUCGGAGCCGUCCAGCGCCGGAGGCCGGGGGUCCCCGGGGUGCACCCCCAGACACUCUGUGGGGUCAGGAUUGGGGUCAGGGUGAGCCCAAAGGUCCUGGGACAGUUCUGGGACCAUCCUGAACCCCAAAUCCCAAACCCCAAAUCCCAAAUCCCAAACCCCAAAUCCCAAACCCCAAACCCCGAAUCCCAAACCCA